ensembl:lncRNA
AGGCGGGAGGAGGGCUAAUCAAGCCUCCUGAUUGUAAUUGUCCGAAGGUGCCGGCCUCCUCGUGAACACGCAGACCGCACGGCCUGCCUCUGCGGCUCCGCGGGGCUUCUCCCUGCUGGGGCCUUGCUGGCUAAUGUUCUUUCGGCAUAACUCUAUUUAAAUUCACAUUUCCAUCAUCCCCCAGAGGAGCCGGCGAGAGAGCUGAGCUGCGUGGUAUAAGCCAGCAAAGGAUUAGAUGGGCUUGGGUGCUGCGGAGGGGGCUGCAGCCCAGCCUGGAGGUCCCCCCCGCCAAGAGGCCCUACGGGUUCUGUGUGCGAUGACCUCCUCCAGGCAGCCAGGCAUGGCCCUGGGUUGCCUGGUAUCCCUGGGACCCACAGCUCAGCAGCUCAGAACGGCUCUUCACCUCCGAGGCUCCUCCUCUGAGACCGGUGGGCGAGGGGGAGCUUUGGCUUCUAACCCACCAGGAUGUGCUGGGUCCUCUCCUCCAGGGUGAGGACGGUCCAUCCUUGGGUCAGGGGGAUCGGUGGCAGGGUAGCCUCCUGCGUGGAUCCCAAGGCUCUGGGCUGCUACCACUCGCCCUAGCGUGAGCCCUCUCCUACAAGCCUACGGACCAAUAUGUUGUCCCAUUCCACGGCCUGUGCUGAGUCCCGACCCAGGCUCAGAGAGGUUGAGACAUCCACCUAUGAUUGCACAGCCAGGAGGUGCCCUCAUCGUACCUUGGGCUGCCUCCAUUUAGCCCCGCAGAGCCGCUCCGCAGAACCUGAGCUGGCAAGACAGACAUCUUUAACCCCUGGCCUGGAGGGAUGCUCUGCGGAGGUAACAUCAAACCUGCACACACUGGAAAACCCUCGGAGUCUAAGACAAUGGGUCAGCUCCUCAGAUGCCAAGGGAACCUGGGCUCCUUGCCAAGCUGGCCAGCCACUCUGCUCGCAUCUGUGACCAGCUGAGCAGGGGCCCAGAUGUCGGCCAGCAGAGGUCACUGAAGGAGGUGGGGGUUGGUGUGUCUGCUCUGAGAAGGGGCCUUUCCCCCCAGCCUUGCCCUUGAAACCCUCCAUGGAGCAAGUCUGGGAGGAACUCUUGAAACCUUCCGUGCGGCAGGUCCUAGAG